rnacentral:sRNA from 1 species
CUUGGUCAUUUAGAGGAAGUAAAAGUCGUAACAAGGUCUCCGUUGGUGAACCAGCGGAGGGAUCAUUACAGAGUUGCAAAACUCCCAACCAUUGUGAACCUACCUCACCGUUGCUUCGGCGGGUGGCCCUCUCCGGGGCCGCGCUGGCCCCCCCGGGGGUCGGCAACCCGUCAGAGGACUGAAACUCUUAGUAACCACUGGCCUCUCUGAGUAACUUAUAUAAUAAGUCAAAACUUUCAACAACGGAUCUCUUGGUUCUGGCAUCGAUGAAGAACGCAGCGAAAUGCGGUACGUAAUGUGAAUUGCAGAUUUCAGUGAAUCAUCGAAUCUUUGAACGCACAUUGCGCCCGCUAGUAUUCUGGCGGGCAUGCCUGUUCGAGCGUCAUUUCAACCAUCAAGCCCCCGGCUUGCGUUGGAGCCCUGCGGCUGCCGCAGGCUCCCAAAUACAGUGGCGGGCUCGUCGUCGUACCGAGUGCAGUAAACAUCCUCGCUCAGGGAACGCGUCGGGUUCUUGCCGUGAAACCCCCCCAUAUUAAGGUUGACCUCGGAUCAGGUAGGAAUACCCGCUGAACUUAAGCAUAUCAAUAAGCGGAGGAAAAGAAACCAACAGGGAUUGCCCCAGUAACGGCGAGUGAAGCGGCAACAGCUCAAAUUUGAAAUCUGGCUUCGGCCCGAGUUGUAAUUUGUAGAGGAAGCUUCUGGUGCGGCGCCGUCCGAGUCUCCUGGAACGGAGCGCCAUAGAGGGUGAGAGCCCCGUAUGGACGGAUGCCAAACCUGUGUGAAGCUCCUUCGACGAGUCGAGUUGUUUGGGAAU